CUGCCAAGCCUCGAUAUCCUUCCAAGUGCAUGGGUUCGGUGAGCCACUUGGCUACGAGGUGGGACUUACCUCCGCCUGCGUGGGAGGCGUACAGGAUGAUACUGUGCUUAUCGUCAGACAUCACGCUUGCUUGUGCGGGAGUGAAUUGGAACGUCAUUUGCAACCUCCAUUACGGGUUGAGAAAGUAAAAAGCCCCAGCGAAGAUC
rnacentral:antisense_RNA from 1 species